rnacentral:rRNA from 1 species
AUUGAACGCUGGCGGCAGGCCUAACACAUGCAAGUCGAGCGGAUGAAGGGAGCUUGCUCCUGGAUUCAGCGGCGGACGGGUGAGUAAUGCCUAGGAAUCUGCCUGGUAGUGGGGGAUAACGUCCGGAAACGGGCGCUAAUACCGCAUACGUCCUGAGGGAGAAAGUGGGGGAUCUUCGGACCUCACGCUAUCAGAUGAGCCUAGGUCGGAUUAGCUAGUUGGUGGGGUAAAGGCCUACCAAGGCGACGAUCCGUAACUGGUCUGAGAGGAUGAUCAGUCACAGUGGAACUGAGACACGGUACAGACUCCUACGGGAGGCAGCAGUGGGGAAUAUUGGACGAUGGGCGAAAGCCUGAUCCAGCCAUGCCGCGUGUGUGAAGAAGGUCUUCGGAUUGUAAAGCACUUUAAGUUGGGAGGAAGGGCAGUAAGUUAAUACCUUGCUGUUUUGACGUUACCAACAGAAUAAGCACCGGCUAACUUCGUG